rnacentral:lncRNA from 1 species
AAGGAGGGACCUAAGAUGAAUCUAGUAGGGUCCGAAGAGAGAUAUGGUUUAAGUAGGGUAUAAUCCAGUGACGGAAGAGAAGGUAAAGGCGAAAGCGGCGCCAUUGCUGAAAGAAAAAGAAAAAUCUGAAGGGUCGAGAAGAAGGAAAUGGGUCAAGCUCAGAGAUGAAGAAGAGGUCGGAGAAAACAAAGAGGAACAAAGAGAAGGCGAAGAAAACGAGACCUUAGUUAAAAAGGAACGAAGAAAGAGAAAGCUUGGCGAAGAAGAAAAG